AAGGCAGGCCAGGCCGCCGCUUUUCCGUGUCCGCACGGGAGGGAGGAAAGUCCGGGCUCCUUAAGAGCGCGGUACCGGGUAACCCCCGGACGCCGCGGGGGGGCGAUAGUUUUCCCGCGGCGAUAGAAAGUGCCACAGAAAAUAUACCGCCCGCGCGCUCCGCGCGCGGGUAAGGGUGAAAAGGCGGUGUAAGAGACCGCCGCCUCUCCGGCAACGGGGAGGGCAGGGCAAACCUUACCGGGAGCAAAGUCAAGAAGCGGAAGAGCUGCUCGCUCUCAUAUUCCGCGGGUAGACUGCCAGACGGUUACGGUAACGUAACCGGCAGACAGAUGACGGCCCCCGGUUUUUUCCUCCGGAAAAAACCGGGACAGAACCCGGCUUACCGGCCUGCCUUUUUU
rnacentral:RNase_P_RNA from 1 species